CCUACGGGAGGCAGCAGUGGGGAAUUUUGGACAAUGGGGGCAACCCUGAUCCAGCCAUUCCGCGUGUGCGAUGAAGGCCUUCGGGUUGUAAAGCACUUUUGGCAGGAAAGAAAUCGCACGGGUUAAUAACCCGUGUGGAUGACGGUACCUGCAGAAUAAGCACCGGCUAACUACGUGCCAGCAGCCGCGGUAAUACGUAGGGUGCAAGCGUUAAUCGGAAUUACUGGGCGUAAAGCGUGCGCAGGCGGUUCGGAAAGAAAGGUGUGAAAUCCCAGGGCUUAACCUUGGAACUGCACUUUUAACUCCCGAGCUAGAGUAUGUCAGAGGGGGGUGGAAUUCCGCGUGUAGCAGUGAAAUGCGUAGAUAUGCGGAGGAACACCAAUGGCGAAGGCAGCCCCCUGGGAUGAUACUGACGCUCAUGCACGAAAGCGUGGGGAGCAAACAGGAUUAGAUACCCUGGUAGUCCACGCCCUAAACGAUGUCAACUAGCUGUUGGGGGCUUCGGGCCCUUAGUAGCGCAGCUAGCGCGUGAGUUGACCGCCGUGGGAGGUACGGUCGCGAGAAUUAAACUAACGAAAGAAGUUAGACGGCGUGAGACGUGCCGACGGACGACGACGAGGGAGGUUAGG
rnacentral:rRNA from 1 species